rnacentral:lncRNA from 1 species
AUGAGCUGCAAUGCCUUCCAGCUGCAAACUCCUAUAACUGUGUUUUCUGUUUUGCAGACACCAGAUUUCUAUAUGUUCAUGUGGAUUUUCUUGGAUAUUAUUUCUGCAGUUUUCAUUGUUGCCAUAUUUUAUUCUAUUUGGUUGCGAGAAAGCCGAAGUGAAAAAAUCCUCCAAGGUAUCACCAGUUACACAGGUAAAGUCAGAGGCCUAGCACCCUCCCAUCUUUUCAUCCCUACCCAUUGCCUCCAGGAGGCAGGGCCUGCCUUUAAUGUUCCUGACAAGAAUUGAAGGAGUCUUAAAAAUCAGGGGGUGGGAACCAGUGAGAAGCUGGGAAAAUAGGCUGGGCGCAGAUACUAAGGGGCCCUUAAUAUCCAGAUUCAUUGCGGACUUUCUUCUCUUAAGCAGUGAGACUCCUUGGAAGAUUUUUAAUGUGGUUGUUUAUUUGCUCUCUUGUUCAUGUAUUCCUUCAUGACAAUUAAUAUUGAGCACCCACUUUGUGUCAGGCACUCUGAGAAAGACUGGAAGCUCUCUGUGGAGGGCAGCUCAAAAGAACAGAGCCCUGGCCCACAGAGAACCAGUGAGGAAGCAAAGGUAUAGCAGUUGACAUCUUUGGUUCAGGCAUCCAGGACCAGGACAGGGAAGCUGCAAUGCUCAUCGGGGCUGAAUGUGCUUUUUGUGGCUCCAGUUGUGAUUACGUUGAAAGUUGGAGAAAAUUGCUGAGAUCCUGGAAUUCUGGACUAGAGUCUAGGCUCUGCAUAUAAACAAUCAGGAAAUGACAAAUGAGUUUCAAACAAGGGAGCAAUAUGCUUAAACUUCUGGGUAAAAGGAUAGAAUAGCAUAAUAACGUAUUAUUCAGCAAAAUAACUCAGGACUGAGAUAGGUCCAGUAAGGGAAGGGAAGCUAGAGUUUAUUAUUUAGGAGAUUGUGGAGAUAGUCACAUAGUGAGUUACUGGUUUGGUCAGAGAGAAAACCAGUUAGGAGGCAGUUCAUAAUACAGUUUCCUCCCAUAGCUCUUGAAGCCUUAAGUAAAGUUGGUACAGUCACAAAAUCAUGAAUUAAUUUAACUUCUUAUGGACAGUGGUAAAGAUCUUGAGAUGCUGUGUACCAGCUGUCAGUGUUCAACACAUACCUUACUUAGAGCUGUAGGAAUGGGUCCAUAGAGACCAUGAAGAAACAAAUUCAGAACUUUGAAGAGCAGUGGUCUUUCCUACUAUAAAGUUCAGUGUUUUAACCAAAAUGACUCAAAUUUCGUAAGAUAUAGAGUGAUCUCCAGUGACUCUGUUUUAUGGAUUUUAAAAAGAUCUCUCUGCUGGCUAUUAAGAUGACUGAAGGCUGUGUUCCAGUUGCCUUAUGAUUUUUAGUAGUUUAUUAGUAAACUAGGGCUUCCAAAAUGAAGUACCAAGGACUGGGUGCCUUAAACAACAGAAGUUGAUUUUUCUCACAGUUCUGAAUUAUGGUUUACCUUAGUGUAUGUGAGUGUAUUUAUCUGCUUAAGGUUUGCUAAAUUUCUUAGAUCAGUAAGAAAAUAAAUGUUCUGUCUGUAUUUUUUCAAAUAAUUUUCUCCCACUACUCUCUUCCUGGGAUUCCUGUUAUCCAGACCAUUUAUUUUUAUUUUUAACCUAUUAAUUUUUUUAAUUUUUUUUCUUUUGACUGCACUGGGUCAUAGCUGUAGCACAUGUGAUCUUUAGUUAUGCCUUGCAAAUUCUUAGUUGUGGCAUGUCAGAUCUAGUUCCCUGCCCAGGGAGUGAACCUGGACCCCCUGCAUUGGGAGUGGGGAGUCUUAGCCACUGGACCACCAGGGAAGU